UCUGUGCAGGGGAAAAUGGAGACGGGGUUUGAGAGUUCAGUGCUGACCAGGAUUUAUGCCAGGGUGUUUUGCCAAAUAUCCUUGUUGAAGCCAGUGCUUUUUCUUACUCUUUGAUAUCUUUUGUCACCAAUUUCUAGGCCUUUGCUAUGACCAACCAAAUUCUGGUGGAGAAGUCAGUGACAGGUUGGAAAGAAAUAGAAUAUGAAGUGGUUCGAGAUGCUGAUGACAAUUGUGUCACUGUCUGUAACAUGGAAAAUGUUGACGCCAUGGGUGUUCACACAGGUGACUCCGUUGUUGUGGCUCCUGCCCAGACACUCUCCAAU
rnacentral:sRNA from 1 species